GGUCCCAUCGUCUAGCGGCCCAGGAUCCUUGGUCCUCAACCAAGAGACGGGGGUUCGAAUCCCCCUGGGACCA
rnacentral:tRNA from 1 species